GAUGAACGCUGGCGGCGUGCCUAAUACAUGCAAGUCGAGCGAACAGAUGAGGAGCUUGCUCCUCUGACGUUAGCGGCGGACGGGUGAGUAACACGUGGAUAACCUACCUAUAAGACUGGGAUAACUUCGGGAAACCGGAGCUAAUACCGGAUAAUAUAUUGAACCGCAUGGUUCAAUAGUGAAAGACGGUUUUGCUGUCACUUAUAGAUGGAUCCGCGCCGCAUUAGCUAGUUGGUAAGGUAACGGCUUACCAAGGCGACGAUGCGUAGCCGACCUGAGAGGGGGAUCGGCCACACUGGAACUGAGACACGGUCCAGACUCCUACGGGAGGCAGAAGUAGGGAAUCUUCCGCAAUGGGCGAAAGCCUGACGGAGCAACGCCGCGUGAGUGAUGAAGGUCUUCGGAUCGUAAAACUCUGUUAUUAGGGAAGAAAAAAUGUGUAAGUAACUAUGCACGUCUUGACGGUACCUAAUCAGAAAGCCACGGCUAACUACGUG
rnacentral:rRNA from 1 species